GACGUAGGAUGCAAGCGUUGUCCGGAAUUAUUGGGCGUAAAGAGCGUGUAGGCGGCCAGGUAGGUCCGCUGUGAAAACUCGAGGCUCAACCUCGAGAUGUCGGCGGAAACCAUCUGGCUAGAGUCCGGAAGAGGAGAGUGGAAUUCCUGGUGUAGCGGUGAAAUGCGCAGAUAUCAGGAAGAACACCCGUGGCGAAGGCGGCUCUCUGGGACGGUACUGACGCUGAGACGCGAAAGCGUGGGGAGCGAACAGG
rnacentral:rRNA from 1 species